GCCGGGAUAGCUCAGUUGGUAGAGCAUCGCACUGAAAAUGCGGUUGUCCCCAGUUCAAGUCUGGGUCCUGGCA
rnacentral:tRNA from 1 species